rnacentral:rRNA from 1 species
CAUAGCCCUAGAAAUUAUCUAAGGUGUAACCUGCCCAGUGGGUCUUAAUAAUAAAAUAAAAUUUUAAUUAAUAGAUCUAAAAGGACGCGGUAACCUUGACCGUGGUAAUGUAGCAUAAUCACUCGCCAUUUAAUUGGUGGAUAGUAUGAAUGGUUGAACGAGUAUUCCACUGUCUUAGAAAGAAUUAAUAUAAAUUGAAAUAGUAGUUAAGAUGCUACUUGGAACUGUAAGACGAAAAGACCCUAUAGAGCUUAACUAUAAUCUUUGUAAUAAUUAAAGAAGAAUUUUUCUGAAUCUACAAAGACAGGUAGUUUAGUUGGGGCGACUGCUUUCUAAAAUUAACGAAAGUAAGCAAUGUUAAUAAUAUCACUUAUUGUAUAACUAAAAAGUUUAACAAUUAUCAUAGUAGGCUACAAUGACCCGUUCUGUCUUAAAAAGAAGUGGAACGAUCAAUUGAUAAAAGCUACCUUAGGGAUAACAGGAUAAUUUCAUUUUAGAGCUCAUAUCGAAAAUGAAGUUUGUCACCUCUAUGUUGAAUUAAGAUAUCCUGGUAAUGCAGCAGUUACCAAAGGUAGGUCUGUUCGACCUUUAAAAUCUUACAUGAU